UACGUAGGGUGCGAGCGUUGUCCGGAAUUAUUGGGCGUAAAGAGCUCGUAGGUGGCGGGUCACGUCGGGUGUGAAAGCCCGGGGCUCAACCCCGGGAGGCGGGUGGAUACUGCUCAGCUCGAGUCCGGAAGAGGAGUGUGGAAUUCCUGGUGUAGCGGUGAAAUGCGCAGAUAUCAGGAGGAACACCAAUGGCGAAGGCAGCACUCUGGGACGGUACUGACGCUGAGACGCGAAAGCGUGGGGAGCAAACAGG
rnacentral:rRNA from 1 species